UACUGAUUUUGGGUAGAACAAAGGAAAGACUCCUGCUUUCCACUGAGAAGAUAUGAAACUGCUUCUUGACCAUGAAAAGGAGACAGAAUUCAUGAUCUCCUCAGGCUAGCUAAUAGCCCUGUUAGCAAAUAACAAGCUAGAUUUAUAUUCAUAUACUGUGGUUACUGUACAGAGUUUUGCAUUCUUGCAGAGAAGACUUUUGGGUUUUACCUUUACUUCAUUUCUCCCUUCCAAAGAAGAGGGAUGACAAACAGGCAGCAAGUCUCCUUUGUGCUCCUGUCUUAAACAACAUUAUUCAUCUUCCUGACCUUACAUGUGAAGCAAAUGGCAUAUCCUCUGGUGUGACUCUUGACUUCAUGACCGUGCCUUGGAG